rnacentral:tRNA from 1 species
CGGGAUGUAGCUCAGUAGGAAGAGCGCCCGCUUUGGGAGCGGGAGGUCGCAGGUUCGAGACCUGCUAUCCCGA